rnacentral:rRNA from 1 species
GUAAGGUAGUGGCCUACCAAGGUUAUAACGGGUAACGGGGAAUCAGGGUUCGAUUCCGGAGAGGGAGCCUGAGAAACGGCUACCACAUCCAAGGAAGGCAGCAGGCGCGCAAAUUACCCAAUCCAGACACUGGGAGGUGGUGACGAGAAAUACCGGGUCGUGCCCAAAAGGUUUCGACACUGGAAUGAGUGCAAUUUAAAAAUUUCAACGAGUAACAACUGGAGGGCAAGUCUGGUGCCAGCAGCCGCGGUAAUUCCAGCUCCAGUAGUGUAUCUUAAAGUUGCUGCGGUUAAAACGCUCGUAGUUGGACAAGAGAGUGAUCAAGUGCGGGCGGGGAGUAAGCCUACUCUGUACUGGCUAGGAUGGCUGGGUUGCAUCUACGGRYGUUAGCUUGGCUGUCUGACUGCUGGGCAGAAGUACUACUUGUCGACCAUGCUGCUUGGUUACUUGUUUGUUCGUGAGAAUAUCAUAUGGCCUUAACUGUGCUGUGUGAUGUAUCUUACGUAGUGUGCCUUGAAUAAAUCAGAGUGCUCAAAGCAAGCUUACGCUUGAAUGUUAAUAGCAUGGAACGAAUGUUUUGUGAAAGCACAAGUAGUGAAGUAUUCGUACUAUCGCUACUUGUGCAGCACCAACUCCGAAUCGGAACAUUGGUAGCCGAAUUCGGGUGAUGAUUAAGAGGGGCAUUUGGGGGCAUUAGUAUUUGGACGCGAGAGGUGAAAUUCUUGGACCGUCCAAGGACUAACAAGUGCGAAAGCAUUUGCCAAGUAUGUUCCCUUUAAUCAAGAACGAAAGUGAGAGGUUCGAAGACGAUCAGAUACCGUCCUAGUUCUCACCGUAAACGAUGCCAACCCGGGAUCAGCUCGGAUGGUAAAUUGUGGAUCCAG